GAUACCUCCAGCGUCACUCCCAGCACUCGGGUGACCCCUCAACCUCCUCCUAUCGUCCCCUCCUCUUCGAAUCACCAUCUCCACCUGCCCGGCCUCCACCUGCCCGGCCUCCACCUGCCCUCCCAGCUCCCACAGGCUUCCCUGUCCCGUGAGGGUGAGGCACUAAUUUGGAAAAACAUCCCCCAAAGCUGACAGCUGCUUUAGGGGAACCAAGAGAAUUCUAGAUCAUUCACUUAUUUAGACUCUAUUUUAAAUAUAUUUAAUUCUUAUUUUUUAAUUUUUUUUGAGACAAGGUCUCACUCUUUCACCCAUAGCUCACUGCAGCCUCCAACUCCUGCGCUCAAGCGAUCCUCCCACCUCAGCCUCCCGAGUAGCUGGGACUACAGGCUCGGGCCACCAUGCUAGGCUGAUUUCUUUAUAGAGAUGGGGUUUCGCCAUGUUGUCCAGGCUGGUCUCGAACUCCUGAGCUCACGUGUUCUUCCCACCCUCAAGUGAUCUUCCCGCCUCUGGCCUCCCAAGGUGCUGGGAUUAUAGGUGUGAGCCACUGCACUCGGCCUGUUUAGACUCUAGAGCCAGACCACCUGGGUCUGGAUCUCUGAACUGACCUCAUAGGACUAUUCUAAAAAUUUAAAGAUAUGUAAUAUACAUAAUGCAGUCUGUACUUUAUAUAUACUUAAGUAAGUAUCUACAUAUAUAACAAUAGGCAUUUAUAAAUCUUGGCUGUUGUUACUACUCUUCGCGUGUUCAUUUAUCCUUAAACACGCAUCCAGCCUUCUCACAGGGAGAAGACUCUGCACUUCCCUGCUCAAGUCUCCUGCCCAGGCAGGGGGCAGAUGAACAGAGGCUGGGAGAGAAUGUCACCAGGGAAGCUGCAGGGCCCUGAGGGGCUGCUGAGACCAGGCCCAGGAGAGCUGGCUUCCCCAGGAUUUACAUCAUGACCGAGCACCCAUUCCAGCUGCAAUCUGUCCCCCCAUCCCCACUUUGAGUGCCAGCCCUAAUACAGGGCCAGCCCUGCGGGGCCAGAGCACAUUCCUCCAGCCCUGGAUUACGGGGGUCCUAGCCCCCAGCACAUAGGGCAUUUCUAAGGGUUGGGGUGGGCUGGGUGGCAGGAGGCUAUUCUGUUCCCUGUUUCCUCACUGCAGGCUGCCUGAAGAGGUACAGAGACCCUUGCUCCCGGCCACCAGCCCCACAGUGGAGCCUGCAAGGAUGGUGCUUCUAGGUGCUGAGUGCUGAGUGAGAAACUGGGAAGUGACUCCCUGGGGAUGGAAAACCCCACCUCCUGACCAGGAGGCUGGGAAAUCACCUGGUUUCCACAUGUUUCUGUGACAUGGACCACGCUGAGGGUGUGGCUGGUAUGACCCACAGCCUUAACUCUGCAGAGCCGCUGGACAGACAUGCAGAGCUCUUCUGGCCCUUAUGAGAAUGCCUAGGAGCAGCUCCAAGGACUCCUUGAUCCCUAAAAUAGAGCUGAAGGCAGGAGGGAGAUGUCACCUCGUGGAAGCAGGGGACAAUAGUUCUCUCUAGUUGUCCCCCACACACCUCAAGACCAAUGGGACCAACAGACUGUCUGCACCCCCAACCCUCAACAACCGGCUCCUCCUGCCAGUUUCCCUAUCCCAGUGAAUGGCACCAUCACCUCCUGAAGGUGGGGAUCCUCCCAGGCUUAGGUCCCAUCCUGGGAACGAAUUCAAGCUUAAUCUCUAUGCAACAUGGGGCUUCUCCCCUUCUCCAGGCCGACCCAGGCUUGAGAGCAGGCGACUUCUCUCUGAACUCUGCCAAGUGCAGUUCUUGACUCCAGGGUCAGGCCCAGGGGUGAGGGUUUGGGAAGGAAAGGGCACAGUGUUCCAUGGCAGCCAAAGUUGUCACCCAUCUGGCACUGGGGACUUUGGGGACAGUUUCCAGCUCAUUCUCUCUGGGGCUCUAGUGCAGGUUUCUUGGAGACCUUCUUACUGACUCCACUGGCCACAGCUCCCCAGCACCUGAAAUGCCUGCACCUCCUGCUGGCCACAAUUCACCACCUCCCCUUCAGCUCCUACAGGAUGGUGUCCUCCUGGCUUCUCCUGCUGAGGCCGCCUUACCUACUAGGAAGCACUUUGGGAUGGAGAUGGUCAGGCUGGCCUCCUCGCUGGGGUCCAUGGUUGCCUGCCCUUUGCUGCGCACCAAUAGCAGCCCAGCUAACUCUCCGUGCACCCUGGCUCACUCCAGCAAUGCUGGCUCAGGUCCAUCCAGCCACAGGCUCCUUUAUUAAGCACCUACUGUGUGCCAGCCCUGGAGUGCUGGGGACUCAGCAGUGGACAAAAUAGACAAGAAUCUUCCACCUGUGUUAUGGUCCUUAAACUCCUGGGAUAUGAAGCCCCCAGAUGGCUCCCUCGUAUCCCCUCCUGCUUGGCCCAAGGUAAGAGGAAGUGCCCUCUCCGCUCCAAAGGGCAGCAGGGGGCACUCAGCCCAAUGGUGACUCCUUCCCCAAAAUCCUCUCUCUUGGCUUCUCCAACCCCACAUCUUAUUUAGGCUGGAGGUGGCGAUGGCCAGUUCUGGCUGAACCAGUUUGUCUCUCCACAUGACCUGCACACGUGGUCCGGGACUUUUUCUUCAGUGUGGGUGGGGGGGGGAUUGAUCUUGACACUCACCAUAUUGUACCUGCCACUGGGGAAUAUGGUAAAACUCAGGGACAGCAGAGGCAGUGUGGAGGGCCUGGACUCUCUCCUUCUGCCCCACAGCCCAGCCCUGGCUCUAUCUCCCACCCAUGAUGCUCUGGGCCUCCCGAUGAGGCUCUGGCCUUCAGGCUCUGUCCCCGAAUCUGCCUUUCCGUGGAGUGGUCAGGCCCAGCCCUGCAAAGCAUUAGCCACUCAUGCCACUCUCCUAGCCCAG
rnacentral:lncRNA from 1 species